rnacentral:rRNA from 1 species
CAGUAGCCGCGAUAAUACGAAGGGGGCUAGCGUUGCUCGGAACGACUGGGCGUAAAGGGCGCGUAGGCGGAUGGCACAGUCAGAUGUGAAAUUCCCGGGCUUAACCUGGGGGCUGCAUUUGAUACGUGUUGUCUAGAGUGAGGAAGAGGGUCGUGGAAUUCCCAGUGUAGAGGUGAAAUUCGUAGAUAUUGGGAAGAACACCGGUGGCGAAGGCGGCGACCUGGUCCUUUACUGACGCUGAGGCGCGAAAGCGUGGGGAGCAAACAGGAUUAGAUACCCCUGUAGUCCCUGUCUCUUAUAC